AGCGGCGCGGCGGCGCGAGGAAAGGGCGUAGCUCUGUAGUUAGCGCCCUAUCACCGAGACUAGAGAUAGCAGUAACCUGAGUCGGCUACUAAGGGAUGUAAAAGGAUUGAAAAGAACAAUGUUGUAAUAAUCAUGUUUAAUCGGAUUGUAUUUGGGAGCUGAAAGAGUAAAUGAGAAUUAAAAAUGAAAUAUGUAAAAUGUAUGUGAGUUGAAUGCUUGUAAUAGCGUAAUAGCAUAGAUGUAUUUAUGUUUUCGAUACCUUCCUUAUGCAAUAUUUGUUAUAUGCUGUUCCUGAUUGGAACCUCGCGCAUUGUAUGGAUUGUGACGCCUUGGACGUGUUAAGGAUUUUAUAGGUUGGCGAAUUUCGUAAAGUUGGUUGGAGUCUUGAAGAGUUGAUCGCAGAAGUUUUUGAAGAAAAGAUUCAAAUUGAAGAAAUAAGACUCAUUCGGAAAGCUCGA
rnacentral:lncRNA from 1 species